UACGGAGGGGGCGAGCGUUAUUCGGAAUUAUUGGGCGUAAAGGGCGCGUAGGCGGCUUGACAAGUCAAAGGUGAAAUCCCUCGGCUCAACUGAGGAACUGCCUUUGAAACUGUCUGGCUUGAGGCCGGGAGGGGGUAGCGGAAUUCCCAGUGUAGCGGUGAAAUGCGUAGAUAUUGGGAAGAACACCGGAGGCGAAGGCGGGUUGCUGGGCCGACACUGACGCUGAGGCGCGAAAGCCAGGGGAGCAAACGGG
rnacentral:rRNA from 1 species